ensembl:lincRNA
CAAAAGGAGCCCAGUCCUCAAGAAUCCAAAAGGCAGUAUCUUCCUGAGGAGUCUGGGAUGUGGAUCUUCAGUAUCAAGAAAUCUUCUAUGCUGCUGCUGCUGCUGCUAAGUCACUUCAGUCAUGUCCGACUCUGUGCGACCCCAUGGACUGCAGCCUACCAGGCUCCUCUGUCCAUGGAUUUCCCAGGCAAGAACACUGGAGUGGGUUGCCAUUUCCUUCUCCAAUGCAUGAAAGUGAAAAGUGAAAGUGAAGUCGCUCAGUCGUGUCCGACUCUUAGCAGCCCCAUGGACUGCAGCCUACCAGACUCCUCUGUCCAUGGGAUUCUCCAGGCAAGAACACUGGAGUGGGUUGCCAUUUCCUUCUCCAAUGCAUGAAAGUGAAAAGUGAAAGUGAAGUCGCUCAGUCGUGUCCGACUCUUAGCAGCCCCAUGGACUGCAGCCUACCAGACUCCUCUGUCCAUGGGAUUUCCGAGGCAAGAGUACUGGAGUGGGGUGCCAUUUCCUUCUCCGAAUCUUCUAUGACCCAAUACUAAAAAACCCAACUUAGACUGAGCUGCAUGCUUAUCUAGGAAUAGUUCUAAAGCUGACUUGCAGGGAUUCCACCCAGGUGUGUUCAUUCUUGGAACCAGCUUCAAGUACCAAUUCUCUCAACACAGGCUCCUGGCUUCCUUCUUGUUUUGGUUUCCUCUGUCUUCUUUCAGUCCCACAUUGUAACAGAAAACAUUUUGAAGGUCUCUGAGUCACAUGGGACAGGGUGUUUAAAAUCCCACCCUAUACUCUGCAGUUCAAGACAGCUGGCUACUUGUCUUUAUAUAUAACUCAAAGUGCUUGUCCCAUUCAACCCAUUUCCAGUUUUUAUGAGAUCACAUAAGAACUAGUGCUACAGAUUUACAAAAUCCUUAAUGUUGAAAGAAAAACUUAAGAGUUUUCCAAUUUUUUACAGUUUUAUUCAAACUGUUUUCUGUUUGGAGCCAUAUGUGAAAGACUGAAAAAAAGUGCUUUGAACAUGAGUAAAUGGGUUGAUAUUGUUGAAAGCCAUGGUUCUUAUUAUGGAAGAAGGAACUUACAAAUAUAAAAUGAGAGAAGGACAGAAAUAAUCCUUUGGAACUGUAAUUGAAUUGGGGGUAUUAGUGUGAGCUAUGAUUUCUAAAAUAUUCUAAAAUACGUAUGUAUAUAUACAUACAUACAUAUUAUAAAUACACAUAUGCACACAGAUCUGUGUGUAUAUGCAUAUGUACAUGUUUGUAUUUCUUCUUUUUUAAUAUUUAUUUAUUUGGCUGAUCCAGGUCUUAGUUGUGGUAUGCAAGUUUUUUUAGCUGAGACUUUCAAACUCUUAGUUGUGGGAUCUAGUUCCCUGACCAGGGAUCAAACCCAGUCUCCCUGCCUUGUGAGCAUGAAGUCUUAGCCACUGGACCACAGGGAAAUCUCAGUGUUUGUUAGUGUUAUACAUUAAAGGGCCAAGAGGCAAAGAUUUCGCCCCUGCCCCCAGUAGCAAUAAGCAUACCUAGAUCUUGGUCUCUAAUACCAUUCCUCACUAAGACGAAUCAGGGAUUCUCAGAGAAAUGUCUGAUUUCAGGGACAGGAUAGGAUAGGGGCAAAAGAGCCUGGGAUAUUUUUUUGUGCCAGAAAGUAAGAAGAUGCUCAAACCAAUGAUGAGGACAUGUUACAAAGGCACAAGAACCAAUUUGAAUGGGCUCCUCCUGACCAAAUCUGGGACAGUCUGAGCAUUGGUGUCCCAGCAUCAAUCAUGAAUUUUAAGCCAGUGAAUAAAUAAGAAUUAAUAUAUCCAUUCCCAAAACACAUAGACAGAUAAUAGUGGUAAUUUAUAACGAUAGAUAGAUCGAUAGCUAGGUGGGCAUGAAAAGUGAGGUCUUCUGCUUGUAGUAGAAUGCAGAAGACCAAAUAGUAGACACAAAUGUGGUGCUGGAGUUCGACAAUUAUCCUUUUGCAGCUGUCAUGAUUAAAAUCAAACCAAGAGGGAAUUGUCACUGACUGUUAACUUUUGGGAGAAAAUUUUGAUGACGUAGGGACAUUUGCAUAGUCCUAUUAGUUACAAGAGAGAGA